UACGUAGGGUGCAAGCGUUAAUCGGAAUUACUGGGCGCAAAGCGUGCGCAGGCGGUUUUGUAAGUCAGAUGUGAAAUCCCCGGGCUUAACCUGGGAACUGCGUUUGAAACUACAAGGCUAGAGUGUGGCAGAGGGGGGUGGAAUUCCACGUGUAGCAGUGAAAUGCGUAGAGAUGUGGAGGAACACCGAUGGCGAAGGCAGCCCCCUGGGUUAACACUGACGCUCAGGCACGAAAGCGUGGGGAGCAAACAGG
rnacentral:rRNA from 1 species